AUGCUGGUAGUGUUCGACGACCCGGUGACGGAGCGGACGGCGCUGCCCGUCAGGCAGGAGGAGCCGGCGGCGCGCGCACAGGGGUUCUACUUCUACGACAAGAAGGAAUCGUACCGCGGGUGGUUCUCCUUCUCGCUCGUGUUCAACUCGAAGGCAUGCAGGGGCACCCUCAACCUCAUGGGCGCCGAUCCCAUGGACGCGGAGACGCGUGACUUUUCCGUCGUAGGGGGCACCGGCGACUUCUUCAUGGCGCGCGGCGUCGCGACGAUCCGCACCGACGCCACCGAGAGCUACUUCUUUUUUUUUGAGGGAAGGCCAUCAUGGCUAGCUUUAUUAAGAUCAAAUAAUCAGUACAUCGUCCACUAG
rnacentral:rRNA from 1 species